rnacentral:lncRNA from 1 species
AGCAGUAUUACUUUCACCAGGCUCCAGAUUGUUCUACUCCUGAUGUCAGGAGGAAGCUGAUUUACCUUUGGAAUGAGAUAACCUCUGGGAUCCCUGAACAGUUAAAGGGCAGACGGAAAUAAGGCUUGGCAAUGAAGAUGGACAAGGAACAUAUGCCAGUGCACAUCUAUUAUAAGCCAUUUAUCCCAGACUGUGAUGCAAGUGUGCUUAAGUCUGAAAUGCAAGUGACUCGUACUUACAGGCAAAAUACAUUCCAGCUGAGGAAAAAAGGAUUUUUGUUGCUGAUUUAAUGGAGUGACAGCCUUUCAGAAGUCUUUAAAUUCACCAUUUUCACUGAUGUCACCCUGUUACCAGAAAGGAGUCCUAAUUCUGACCCCAAGAGAAGGUCCUUAAAUCUCGUGCAAGAAAGAUUUCAGGAUUCAAAGAAUUAGCUGGACUAUGUCUCCAGGUGGAUGACUCUAUGGAAACUUUGAGCUGUAUGGAACAACCUCCUGAUCAUCCAUUUACCUUGCUUUGGUACAUUAGGACUUUAAUAGAAACUGCCUAAUGUGCAGGUAAAAAACUAUCAGGACUCAAAACAAGGCCUGUCCAAU